rnacentral:rRNA from 1 species
GGCGGCGUGCUUAACACAUGCAAGUCGAGUGCGCGCUUGUAGCAAUACAAGUGGCGCACGGCGCACGGGUGCGUAACACGUGGGUAACCUGCCCUUUGGUGGGGAAUAACCUCGCGAAAGCGAGGCUAAUUCCGCAUAAGAUCCGCAAGGAUGAAAGCCGCAAGGCGCCGAAGGAGGGGCCCGCGCACGAUUAGUUAGUUGGUAGGGUAACGGCCUACCAAGACUAUGAUCGUUAGCUGGUCUGAGAGGAUGGCCAGCCACACUGGAACUGAGACACGGUCCAGACUCCUACGGGAGGCAGCAGUGGGGAAUCUUGCGCAAUGGGCGAAAGCCUGACGCAGCGACGCCGCGUGGGGGAUGAAGCUUCUCGGAGUGUAAACCCCUUUCGACUGGGACGAAUACCUCGCAAGAGGGGUGACGGUACCAGUAGAAGAAGCCCCGGCUAACUACGUGCCAGCAGCCGCGGUAAGACGUAGGGGGCCAGCGUUGUUCGGAAUUACUGGGUGUAAAGGGUCAGUANGCGGUGUA